rnacentral:tRNA from 1 species
AAAAAAUUAGUUAAGUAAAUAAUAUUAAAUUGUCAUUUUAAAGUCAUUAUAAAAUAUUUUUUU